rnacentral:rRNA from 1 species
UGGAAACUNUCUGACUUGAGUGCAGAAGGGGAGAGUGGAAUUCCAUGUGUAGCGGUGAAAUGCGUAGAUAUAUGGAGGANCACCAGUGGCGAAAGCGGCUCUCUGGUCUGUCACUGACGCUGAGGCUNGAAAGCGUGGGUAGCGAACAGGAUUAGAUACCCUGGUAGUNCACGCCGUAAACGAUGAGUGCUAGGUGUUAGGCCCUUUCCGGGGCUUAGUGCCGGAGCUAACGCAAUAAGCACUCCGCCUGGGGAGUACGACCGCAAGGUUGAAACUCAAAGGAAUUGACGGGGGCCCGCACAAGCGGUGGAGCAUGUGGUUUAAUUCGAAGCAACGCGAAGAACCUUACCAGGUCUUGACAUCCCGAUGCUAUUCUUAGAGAUAGGAAGUUACUUCGGUACAUCGGAGACAGGUGGUGCAUGGUUGUCGCCAGCUCGUGUCGUGAGAUGUUGGGUUAAGUCCCGCAACGAGCGCAACCCUUAUUGUUAGUUGCCAUCAUUAAGUUGGGCACUCUAGCGAGACUGCCGGUAAUAAACCGGAGGAAGGUGGGGAUGACGUCAAAUCAUCAUGCCCCUUAUGACCUGGGCUACACACGUGCUACAAUGGUCGGUACAACGAGUUGCGAGCCGGUGACGGCAAGCUAAUCUCUGAAAGCCGAUCUCAGUUCGGAUUGGAGGCUGCAACUCGCCUCCAUGAAGUCGGAAUCGCUAGUAAUCGCGGAUCGGCACGCCGCGGUGAAUACGUUCCCGGGCCUUGUACACACCGCCCGUCACACCACGAGAGUUUGUAACACCCGAAGUCGGUGAGGUAACCUUUUAGGGNCCA